rnacentral:rRNA from 1 species
AAGGUUAACCGAAUAGGGGAGCCGGAGGGAAACCGAGUCUUAAUUGGGCGUUAAGUUGCAGGGUAUAGACCCGAAACCCGGUGAUCUAGCCAUGGGCAGGUUGAAGGUUGGGUAACACUAACUGGAGGACCGAACCGACUAAUGUUGAAAAAUUAGCGGAUGACCUGUGGCUGGGGGUGAAAGGCCAAUCAAACCGGGAGAUAGCUGGUUCUCCCCGAAAGCUAUUUAGGUAGCGCCUCGUGAAUUCAUCUCCGGGGGUAGAGCACUGUUUCGGCUAGGGGGCCAUCCCGGCUUACCAACCCGAUGCAAACUGCGAAUACCGGAGAAUGUUAUCACGGGAGACACACGGCGGGUGCUAACGUCCGUCGUGAAGAGGGAAACAACCCAGACCGCCAGCUAAGGUCCCAAAGUCAUGGUUAAGUGGGAAACGAUGUGGGAAGGCCCAGACAGCCAGGAUGUUGGCUUAGAAGCAGCCAUCAUUUAAAGAAAGCGUAAUAGCUCACUGGUCGAGUCGGCCUGCGCGGAAGAUGUAACGGGGCUAAACCAUGCACCGAAGCUGCGGCAGCGACACUGUGUGUUGUUGGGUAGGGGAGCGUUCUGUAAGCCUGCGAAGGUGGCCUGUGAGGGUUGCUGGAGGUAUCAGAAGUGCGAAUGCUGACAUAAGUAACGAUAAAGCGGGUGAAAAGCCCGCUCGCCGGAAGACCAAGGGUUCCUGUCCAACGUUAAUCGGGGCAGGGUGAGUCGACCCCUAAGGCGAGGCCGAAAGGCGUAGUCGAUGGGAAACGGGUUAAUAUUCCCGUACUUGGUGUUACUGCGAAGGGGGGACGGAGAAGGCUAUGUUGGCCGGGCGACGGUUGUCCCGGUUUAAGCGUGUAGGUGUGUGUUCCAGGUAAAUCCGGUUCACUUUAACACUGAGGCGUGACGACGAGGCACUACGGUGCUGAAGCAACAAAUGCCCUGCUUCCAGGAAAAGCCUCUAAGCAUCAGGUAACAUCAAAUCGUACCCCAAACCGACACAGGUGGUCAGGUAGAGAAUACCAAGGCGCUUGAGAGAACUCGGGUGAAGGAACUAGGCAAAAUGGUGCCGUAACUUCGGGAGAAGGCACGCUGACACGUAGGUGAAGUGAUUUACUCAUGGAGCUGAAGUCAGUCGAAGAUACCAGCUGGCUGCAACUGUUUAUUAAAAACACAGCACUGUGCAAACACGAAAGUGGACGUAUACGGUGUGACGCCUGCCCGGUGCCGGAAGGUUAAUUGAUGGGGUCAGCGCAAGCGAAGCUCCUGAUCGAAGCCCCGGUAAACGGCGGCCGUAACUAUAACGGUCCUAAGGUAGCGAAAUUCCUUGUCGGGUAAGUUCCGACCUGCACGAAUGGCGUAAUGAUGGCCAGGCUGUCUCCACCCGAGACUCAGUGAAAUUGAACUCGCUGUGAAGAUGCAGUGUACCCGCGGCAAGACGGAAAGACCCCGUGAACCUUUACUAUAGCUUGACACUGAACAUUGAGCCUUGAUGUGUAGGAUAGGUGGGAGGCUUUGAAGUGUGGACGCCAGUCUGCAUGGAGCCGACCUUGAAAUACCACCCUUUAAUGUUUGAUGUUCUAACGUGGACCCGUUACCCGGGUUGCGGACAGUGUCUGGUGGGUAGUUUGACUGGGGCGGUCUCCUCCUAAAGAGUAACGGAGGAGCACGAAGGUUGGCUAAUCCUGGUCGGACAUCAGGAGGUUAGUGCAAUGGCAUAAGCCAGCUUGACUGCGAGCGUGACGGCGCGAGCAGGUGCGAAAGCAGGUCAUAGUGAUCCGGUGGUUCUGAAUGGAAGGGCCAUCGCUCAACGGAUAAAAGGUACUCCGGGGAUAACAGGCUGAUACCGCCCAAGAGUUCAUAUCGACGGCGGUGUUUGGCACCUCGAUGUCGGCUCAUCACAUCCUGGGGCUGAAGUAGGUCCCAAGGGUAUGGCUGUUCGCCAUUUAAAGUGGUACGCGAGCUGGGUUUAGAACGUCGUGAGACAGUUCGGUCCCUAUCUGCCGUGGGCGCUGGAGAACUGAGGGGGGCUGCUCCUAGUACGAGAGGACCGGAGUGGACGCAUCACUGGUGUUCGGGUUGUCAUGCCAAUGGCACUGCCCGGUAGCUAAAUGCGGAAGAGAUAAGUGCUGAAAGCAUCUAAGCACGAAACUUGCCCCGAG